rnacentral:snoRNA from 1 species
GUGCCUCAAGCACCCGCGCUGGUCUAGUCUAUUGCCAAGCCUGGGAUAUCCGAACAACCGGAGGGCGCCAGAGCGAAACCCACCAUUCAGUAGAUUAUGUCGGCUGCCAAACACCUAACCGGCCCCCAGACAUGAGCCUGGACGGGCACGU